rnacentral:rRNA from 1 species
CCUACGGGAGGCAGCAGUAGGGAAUAUUGCUCAAUGGGGGAAACCCUGAAGCAGCAACGCCGCGUGGAGGAUGAAGGUUUUCGGAUUGUAAACUCCUUUUUUUAGAGAAGAUAAUGACGGUAUCUAACGAAUAAGCACCGGCUAACUCCGUGCCAGCAGCCGAGGUAAUACGGAGGGUGCAAGCGUUACUCGGAAUCACUGGGCGUAAAGAGCGCGUAGGCGGGAUAGCAAGUCAGAUGUGAAAUCCUAUGGCUUAACCAUAGAACUGCAUUUGAAACUGUUAUUCUAGAGUAUGGGAGAGGUAGGUGGAAUUCUUGGUGUAGGGGUAAAAUCCGUAGAGAUCAAGAGGAAUACUCAUUGCGAAGGCGACCUGCUAGAACAUAACUGACGCUGAUGCGCGAAGGCGUGGGGAGCGAACAGGAUUAGAUACCCGAGUAGUC